AAAUCCUGAUGCAACCAGCCAACCAGAGAUGAUUUUUCCCUCCUUUGGGAGAGACUGGGUUUUGGGGUCAGUCAGUCCUGAAUUUGAAUCUGUACCCUACCCCCUACUGGCUACAUGACCUGAAAAAAUGUUUUUAAUUUAGCUGAACAUUUGUUUUUCUUGUCUGUAAAUACUUCAUACGGUUCUUACAGGGUGAGAAGUAUUAAUUUAAUAUUGAAUUCUUCCCUUCACUUCUGACACUCAGCAUCACUUAACCUCACGUUGUAAUCAUUGGCAUACUUAUCCCUCACCUCCUACUGAUCUGAGCUCAGAGAGUGGCUUCCUCAUCUGAACUAUCCCCAACCAGUGCUCAGUAAGCAUCAAUUUGAUUCACUUGAAAUUACAAAGGAAACACCUCAUUGUUGAUCCUUAGCUGAAGUAUUCUGAUUUUGUGAUAAAACCACAGAAAUUUUCUAUUCUGUAGUUUGUUCCCUUUGUUACAUGGUCUAUUUUUAUUAGUUCACUUAUGCUUUCUCCCACGUUUCAGUGUUGGAGAGAUGAAUACAGUGACUCCAUUUUUCCUCUGAUAGGGAACUAAGCCAUAUGUUUGUACUGAGUCAGCUACUCCAGACUGUGGAUUCUCAAUCAGAUGGUCAGCAGCGUUUAAUUGAAUUCCCAAUAUGCGCAAGGCUACACUGGGUGUUGUCACUCCAGGGAGGUGUAACCAUCUGGAGGAACUUUUUUAAAGAAUUCAGAAUAGGAGAAUAUGUCUCGUUGUAUCUAAAUUAAAAUGAUACUAAUUUUGGCCAAGUAAAUAGCUGGCAUAAGUGCUGUCCUCCCCCUUCUCUCUUAUAUAUUUUUUUCUUCCAGCCUCCAAGAAAAGGCAUUCUUCUUUUUUUGCUGUGGCUAAGAUGAUGUACCUUUUCCUUGAUUUCUUUCCUUCCUAAUUAUUGGUAAUUUGUGUAAUACGAGAUUCUGAUACUUAAAGUGUUCCUCAAGGUUGUCUUUUAGCCUUUGGAUCCUUUUCUAACUUUAGGUAUGUGUGUGUGAAAGGCAGAAUCCUAAGAUGCCCCCAAAGGUUUCCUCCCAUAAUCCCUAGGACUGUGCACAUACUGGAUGUUAUGCCCUUGGUUAUGUUAGGUUACAUAACAGAAGGGAUUUUGAUAUAUAAUUAAGGUUACUCAUCAGCUGGCCUUAAGAUUGGAAGAUUGUCUAGAUAGGCCUGACAUAGUCACAGGAGUUGUCUCCAGCUGGCACUUGAUGGCGAAGCCAGAGAAUCAAAACAUGAGAAGGAACCAUUGCGUUGUUGCUGGUUUGAGCGUGGAGGGGAGUGUGAGCAGGACCUGGAGAGCAGCCUGGAGGAGCUGACAGCAACCUCCAGCGAACAGCCAACAUGGGAAUGGGACCUCAGUUCUGUAGCUGCAGGAAACCGGAUUCUGCCAGCAACCCCAAUUAGCAAGGAAGUGGAUUCUUCCCUAGCGCCUCCUGAUGAGAGCCCAGCCUGGUGGACACCUGGCUUUUGUCUUUGUGAGACUCUAAGCAGAGAACCUGGCUAAGCCCAGGAGGACUUCUGGCCUACAGAAUGGAGACAACAAGUUUGUGAGUUUGUAACAGAAGCUAUCAGGUAAGGAGAGGCAUUGCUAUGCCUGUGUUGGAAGGGCUGUAGUUUUCUGCAUGGAACUGACUCCUGCCAGACGGGGCCCUACAACAUUGAUCUCUUUACCUGUCUGUGAUUACCACUCACCUAACCCACCUGCAUAGAUAGACCCACAUGGUUCACGUGGCUUUAUUCUUUUAUGUAACUCCAGGGUAUUGACUUUAAGUGUUGAGUCUCAAAUAAUUAAAGGAUAAUUAUAUUUUGAUGUCUGUUUAAAAAAUCUCCAAGCCUAUAAUAUUUCAUGUUUGAUAAGGCCUAUUCACUUUUAGCUGAAUGUAAGUGGUUUAGCUAUUUGGGGCACCAACCAAAGUGGGCACCGGAGCAGUCGUUACCCGUUGCCGAUCCCUGUACCCCUGCAUCUCAGCUGCCGCGGUAUCUGUUAUCACCAGAGGUCAGGAGGUCCAGUGGCAAUGUUUUUUGCUUUUAUGUGGGUUGUGGCACUUUUGCUCUCUGUAUUAUAUCUGUGUCAUUAGCACUUUUUCAGGGCAUUUAAACAAUUUUUAAUGAGGUAUAGCAUAUAGUGAAGUCCAUAAAUCUUGUAUGCAGCUCAGUGAACCCAGAUCAAGAAAGAGAACAUUUCUAACAUCAAACAAAACAAAACAAAACAAAACAAAACUGCUUUAUGCCCUUUCCCAGUCACUGGGGAACCCUAGGGUGGUAACUACUGUUGUGACUUCUAUCUUCAUAGUAGUUGGACUUAGAUUGUUCUCGAAGUUCAUGAAAAUGGAGUGGAAUCACUGUGGGUCAGUUAGCUGCAGCCAGAUGCUGGCUGUGGCCAUGGGCAUCUGAAGGCUCAGCUGGGCUGGUUGACCCAGGAGGCUCACUCGCAUGGCUGUCCGCAGAUGCUGACAGGUGCGGGUGCUCAGCUAAGCUGCUGAUGGGAGUGCCUGCAUGUCGUCUCUCUAACGUGACACUGUUAGGGCACUCUAAUUUCCUCCGUGGCCCCAGAAUGAGCAUCUCAAGGGACACUGAAGCUGUUGGGCCUUUUCUGACUUGGCCUGAAAUCAUACACUGUCACCUCCGCUUCAUUCUUGUGAUUACAAGCGACUUGAUAGUGAAGCCGACUCAGAUUCGAGGCUAGGGCACACAGAUUCUCCCUCUCGGUGGGAGGGGUGUAAAACCAUUUGCAGAUGUGUUUCAAAACCCCCACCGUUACAACAAUAGCCAUUUAUUGAAUGAGUGUAAUGUGUCAGGUAUUUUGAUAAGCACUUCACAUGAAUUCCCUGAUUUAUUCCUCACCACACACAACUUUAUGAUUUUUUAAAAACUAUUUUAUAACCAUUUUGUAGAUAAGGAAGUAAAACUGGGAGAGGUUAAGUCACUUGCCCAGUUACACAACUAAUAUGUGAUGGAGCCUGGACUCACACUGAGUUCUCUGACCUCAGAGUCCACAGGCUCAACCAUGGCUAAACUGACAACUUAUUUUAAGGAGAACAGAAUUGUGUUUCAGAGAACUCAUUGCCGGAAGCAGGGAGACUAAUUAGGAAGCUAUUACUACUGUCAGGUGCUUGUUUUAUCUAUUUUUACACAAGAUAACAGAAGGAGUGAAAAAGCAGGAGAGGGAAGGGGUAUGUAUUAUUAAAUAUUUGCAGAAAAAAAUAAAACAUUUUUAGGUCAGAUAGAUUUUCUGUGGCUCUGAUGAUUUUCAACAACUGUUUGUUUUUGGUUAAAAUUACUGACCAUAUUCCCUCUUUAUGUACCAUGAUGUUUUAGCUUGUUCACUCCGGAGUCACACAGAUGCCCAGGUCUGUGGCAUAGCUAGUUUGUGCUUUUGGCCAUUUAAAGGCCGAAUAAAAAUUAUUCAGGUUCUUCUCUUCUUUACCAAAGGCACAUUUUGCAGCUACUUACUAGACUUGAGGAAGAUUUGAGGUGUGGGAUGCUAUGAGAGUCCCUGGUGCUUGCUCUUCAUAGAUGAGGUUUUGCUGGAACACAGCCUCACCCAUGAAUGUACACAUUCUCUAAGGCUGCCUUAAUGCCAGGAUGCUGGCUAGUGCGCGCAGAGACUGCGUGGUCCUCAAAGCCCACCAUGUUUCCUGUGUGGCACUUCACAGGAAAAGCCUGUACACCUGUCCUACGUAAUGGGAGACCUGUUCAGGUCACUCUGUUGAAUGUGUGAGAUGCCGACUGCAGGUCAGGGCACAGUCGUGAGACUGGGCAUGUGUGUUAUUGUUAUGUCUUAGCAGGGAUCAUUGAUUAAGUCGAUUAUCAGCACAUAUCACAGGUCCAAAACAAACAGGUUCAGAGGCCUCUUAAAGGGAUUCCAGCAAAUAUGGUAGAACAGCCAUUUUGGGAUGAGGCCAGUUUCUCUACUUCUUUUGUGCUGUGGGCUGGAUGUUCACGAGUGUGGGUCACCAGGUUAUCACUGAUAACGGCAACUAGCAGGUGAGAGGCCCGUCUGUGACUCUUGCCCCUCCCUGAGGCAAGAAUAGAUAUCUGUAGGUUAUUCUUCACUGCCUCUGCCUGUUUGUUUGUUUGUGUGUUUGUUUGUUUGUUUUGGGGAAAGCCUUAGAAAUAUUUCUAUUUUGUUUUGUUUUCGGCCUCUGUAUGCUGGUUUUUAACAUUGUUACAUUUAGUGCCUCAUCGCAUGUGGGAAGUGUGUUGGCUUGCAUUACUGUGCGUUUCAUUUACUCUCGAGCCCUAUUUAGGACAUUGUUGUUUCAGCCACAGGACUGACCCAGAUGUGCACAUGCAGGGCGUUCGGAGAGAUGCCUCGAGGUGCUGUGGGAGCGUAGAGCAAGUUAUGCUUUGCACGCUCACCUCGGGUCAUGUCCUCAAGUUUUAUUUAGAGAAAAUGUGCAAUGCUUUCCAAUUAUUUUGCUUUUGUUUCCUGCAAUUCUGGAACUGCGAUUGUGCAUUUACUAGUGUUAUAAGGAUGAUUUUCUCAGACAACCGUGAAUAUUGUCAAUGAAAAUACUUCUUAACUAUUAAUUUGCAAAAAAGCCUUUUUUACUGUGUGUAAUUAAAAGAAAUUAAAAUAACUCUUAGAGGUGCAAUAAAAGUUAAUUUUAUUAGCUGCCCAUUUGAUUAACUUUUCCUAUGCAUAGAAAGAAUUACAUGAAAUAAUGUAGUGAGUCUCCUUUUACAAAGAAAACUACAUUACUCUAAGUGUGUGUUUUGUCACAUAAUUUGUGUUUUGCAAGUAACCGACUUUAUUCUUUUAAAACAGGAGCAUUCCGUAAGUGCAGUGACAGUUGAAUUCUUUUUCUCCAUCUCCCUGUUGAAGAAUAAAAGUAACUUGGGGGUGGUGAACCCACACUACCGUGCACAGAUGAUGUGUUGUGGAACUGUGCACCUGAAACGUGUAAUUUUGUUCACCAGUGUCUCUCCAAUAAA